UCUUACUGGUCCAUACUGUGUGUCUGUUUACUGAAGGGUCAUGGGAUCCUUAGUCCCUGUCCCUGGUUGAUUGUCCUUCCCUUGUCAUAUCCCAGGAAUGAAUGGCCGCACAUGUAACAAUACACAAUAUAAGGUACCAAAGCAACAGACUGUUGCAUAUAAUCAUCAUCAUUUGGUGGGAACAAGUGUGUAUUAAUAUGCAUGUGUGAGUUGGAAAUGUGUUUUUUGCAUAUCCCACUCCCCCUGAAACACCCRGGGAGAGUGGGGUCACGGCCAGAGUCUACUAAAGCAAUUGGAUACUACUGUACACUCAACUCUGGCCUCUGGAUCUGUCUAGGUUUUCUCCAGCAUUUUGAGGACUUCAUUCACAGUGGUUUUCCCUUCUSCAAAUCCAAUGUGAAACUGUAUGUGUGUAACAGACAGGGCAAUAAGUGUUUCACCUAUUUAUCAUUGUUGUGUGACUGGGUGGAUGUGGUUUGGUUGGGCCAAGGUUGGUAUGUGUUUUGUGAAGGGAGAAGGGGUUGUAUGCGCCACAGGUGGUUUGGUCUACUGUGGUUUGUAUUUAUGAAGUGUACAUUUCAAUUUUUUCUGUCAGUAUUAUUUUUCCUUCAUUGAAAUCCUCCUGGGUGUAUAUUUGAUAAAGGACCGAUACAGUAUAGCGCAACGAUACUAUUGUUGAAGCUGAACCAACCGAAAACCCAUCUAUAGCGUUAUUUUKUUUUUUAAAGGGAAGCACAACUUGAAACGGUCUCGUUUGUUGGCAGAAUAAGCAGAUUCAGCUUGGAACUGGCUGUGCGUUCAAGUUUUUUUUAAAGGCUAUAUAUUUCCUUCAUUUUCUUUUCUCUAUCUUUUUUUAAACAAUUAUCGUGUGUAUCUUUGCCCUCAAUGAGGACUGUACAGCUUUUCAGUGAUUUUGUUUUCACCGUGUGUGUGUGUGUAGUAGCGCAUCUACGGUAUCGUAUUUUAUUUUUGUAACUGUGAUAAAGUACAUGCAUAUAUAUACAGUAAUUAUAUAGAACUAUUGUGAUGGGAGGGAUUAUUUGUGCUGCAGACAAUUGUCGUUUAAGGAUUCUUUGUUUGUUUUGGUUUCAUCCCUUGCACCGGAUUACAAGACAAUAUGCUUGAUGUUAAAAAUGACAAAAAUAUCUCAAUGUAAUUUAUUCAAAUAAACAACAAGGUUAGAAUUGUU